ACAGGGGGAUAGCCCGGAGAAAUUCGGAUUAAUACCCCGUAAUGAUAUUGAGAGGCAUCUUUUGAUAUUUAAAGUUUCGACGGUACAGGAUGGGCAUGCGUGACAUUAGCUAGUUGGUAGGGUAACGGCCUACCAAGGCUGCGAUGUCUAGGGGUCCUGAGAGGGUGAUCCCCCACACUGGUACUGAGACACGGACCAGACUCCUACGGGAGGCAGCAGUGAGGAAUAUUGGUCAAUGGGCGUAAGCCUGAACCAGCCAUCCCGCGUGCAGGAAGAAGGCGCUAUGCGUCGUAAACUGCUUUUCCAGGGGAAGAAAACCUGAUACGUGUAUCGGCUUGCCGGUACCCUGGGAAUAAGCAUCGGCUAACUCCGUGCCAGCAGCCGCGGUAAUACGGAGGAUGCGAGCGUUAUCCGGAUUUAUUGGGUUUAAAGGGUGCGUAGGCGGAUUAAUAAGUCAGUGGUGAAAACCUUCAGCUUAACUGGAGACUUGCCAUUGAUACUGUUAGUCUUGAGUACGGUCAAGGUAGGCGGAAUGUGUAAUGUAGCGGUGAAAUGCUUAGAUAUUACACAGAACACCGAUUGCGAAGGCAGCUUACUGGGCCAUUACUGACGCUGAUGCACGAAAGCGUGGGGAGCGAACAGGAUUAGAUACCCUGGUAGUCCACGCCGUAAACGAUGAUCACUCGCUGUUAGCGAUACACAGUUAGCGGCUAAGCAAAAGCAUUAAGUGAUCCACC
rnacentral:rRNA from 1 species